CGGUAAAAGCAUGUCACAUCAGAUAAAUGAAUAUGAACUCUUGGUGAAGGAACUUAAGGAAGAACUGAGAGAGCAAAAGUUAAAAGCAAAGGAAGAAGCCGAGGAUCUAGCACAAGAAAUGGCUGAGCUGAGGUACCAAAUGACGGGCAUGCUUAAAGAAGAGUGCAAGCGCCGUGCAUGUAUUGAACAAGUGUCUUUACAGAAAUCGCGGAGUUGGAGGCACAGAUUAAAAAAAGAACCCCAAAAUUCAAUGGUCAUUGUUAGACAUCUUUCGGAAUCAUAGGGGUUGGCUGUGGUAAGGAUUGUUGAUGUCCAUUGAUUCGGAACUGAUUCAGAGAAACGCCUUCUGAUGAUUAAACCGAGGAAAGAUGUAUGUGAUUUGCAUGAUGAAGGUUCUGGGAAUGAAGUUAUGGCUUCACAAGGUAAGCCAAAUAUACCAAG